GCCCGGUUAGCUCAAUCGGUAGAGCGUGAGACUCUUAAUCUCAAGGUUGCGGGUGUAAGUUUACAUACAUAUAUAUGCACUUAAACUUGAAUAUGCAACUAAUGAAUCGAUAGUCGACCCCCGCAUCGGGCU